rnacentral:misc_RNA from 1 species
UGUAAAUUCAAUGAUAAACCACAUAAUGACAUUGCGAGUCUUGUGACUAAAAAUUAAAUCAAAUAUCAUCACUAUUUCAGCAGCACAUCAAUUCUCACAAUGAGGCAAGCCUUGGGGCAACAGUGAGAUUGCACCUUUGUGAGCUGUAAUUGAGAGAUCAAGUGGAAAUCAUAGUUUUCAAAACCGGACCGGACCGGCUAGUCGGACCAGGUUAACCAUG